rnacentral:lncRNA from 1 species
GUUAAUCUAUGUGCCUCAGUGAGAGCAUUGAAGUAUAUACACAAGUAUAUUUACAGAUCCAAUGAGAAAAAGACAAGGGUUGCGUCCGGAACGUUUUACCAUCACCAUGAUGUUACUUUCUCAUUCAAGCACCUAUUCUAAGAUUGUUGUCACUAUGCUACUACGCAAAUAAGAAGUUUAUAAUUUUGUUAGGUUUUUGGGUAUUAUUCCA